UAGGGAAUAUUGGUCAAUGGGUGAGAGCCUGAACCAGCCAUGCCGCGUGCAGGAAGAAGGCCUUCUGGGUUGUAAACUGCUUUUGCCGGGGGAUAAAAUUCCCAUCCGUGGGACAUUGAAGGUACCCGGUGAAUAAGCCACGGCUAACUACGUGCCAGCAGCCGCGGUAAUACGUAGGUGGCAAGCGUUGUCCGGAUUUAUUGGGUUUAAAGGGUGCGUAGGCGGUCUUGUAAGUCAGUUCUGAAAUAUCCCGGCUUAACCGGGAGGGUGGGAUUGAUACUGCAGGACUUGAGUGGAGUCGAGGUAGGCGGAAUUGACGGUGUAGCGGUGAAAUGCUUAGAUAUCGUCAAGAACACCGAUAGUGUAGACAGCUUACUAGUCUCAAACUGACGCUGAGGCACGAAAGUGUGGGGAUCAAACA
rnacentral:rRNA from 1 species